rnacentral:rRNA from 1 species
UGGGGAAUAUUGCACAAUGGGCGCAAGCCUGAUGCAGCCAUGCCGCGUGUAUGAAGAAGGCCUUCGGGUUGUAAAGUACUUUCAGCGGGGAGGAAGGUGUUGUGGUUAAUAACCACAGCAAUUGACGUUACCCGCAGAAGAAGCACCGGCUAACUCCGUGCCAGCAGCCGCGGUAAUACGGAGGGUGCAAGCGUUAAUCGGAAUUACUGGGCGUAAAGCGCACGCAGGCGGUCUGUCAAGUCGGAUGUGAAAUCCCCGGGCUCAACCUGGGAACUGCAUCCGAAACUGGCAGGCUUGAGUCUUGUAGAGGGGAGUAGAAUUCCAGGUGUAGCGGUGAAAUGCGUAGAGAUCUGGAGGAAUACCGGUGGCGAAGGCGGCCCCCUGGACAAAGACUGACGCUCAGGUGCGAAAGCGUGGGGAGCAAACA